rnacentral:rRNA from 1 species
UACGAGUGCCCCGAGCGUUGUCCGGAUUCAUUGGGCGUAAAGAGCUCGUAGGCGGCUGUUCAAGUCGAACGUGAAAACUCGGGGCUCAACUCCGAGCCUGCGUUCGAUACUGCCGUGCUUGAGGACUGGAGAGGAGACUGGAAUUUACGGUGUAGCGGUGAAAUGCGUAGAUAUUCGGAAGAACAUCAGUGGCGAAGGCGACUCACUGGACACAUAUUGACGCUGAGGUGCGAAAGCGUGGGGAGCAAACAGG